GCGGGCGGCGGCCGCCGCGCCCCUCUCCGCCCCGGGGGCAGGAGCCGCGCACGCUGCUCGGGGAAACUUCAGAGGCGGCGCUGAGGCUGAGGGAGCGCGGGGCCGGGCGCGGGUCCUGACGGGCAGCGGCCCGUCCCCCGCCUCCCCAUGGCGGGCAGGGCAGGCCCGGCCCUCCCGCGGCUCGUCCCGGGCCGGGCGCCCUUGUGCCGCGGCGCCGCUCCUGCCCUCAGCCCGUUCGCCCGGAACGCCUCGCUGCCCGCAACGCGCCCUCGCAGUCCGGAGGGGAAAGCGUAUAAGAUGCAGCCCGGGCGGAGCGGCGAUCUUCGCUCAGCGGAUUGCCAUUGCCGGGUUAAAAAGAGUUAAAGCGCGGCUGAGAAAGCUCGGGCACCUGAGAGCCAGGCAUAGCCGGAGGGGAGGGCAGGAGAGCCUUCCCGGAGGAGGUGGGGGCUGAGGAGAUGUCUGCCAUUAGGCAUGUUUAUCCUGACAAGUGAGGGAUUCGUAAGGUGCUGCUUCGCUUUCUGGGUUUGUAGGCUGGGAGGCUGGUGGGUGUCAUGAGGGGAAAAGCUGAGAACUGGCUGCUCCAUUUAACUUCAUUUUUUUUUUUUUUCCCUCUCUCUCCCUUUUAUAAUACUUUAGGCAAAUAUCAAAGGCCACGGUAAGCUCAGGAAGUUCAGACUGGUGUGGAUGUUCAGCCUCCUGUUUAAAGACUGCUGAUAACGGUUCUAGAAAUAGCAUCAUCUCUUAGUAGAAGCUUUUUUCUUCAUAAAGAGAAAAGUAUAUAAUUGAAAUGAGAUGCAUUUUGUGAGAGGGUGUUAAUAAGAAAAGUUGUUUAACAAUAUAACUUGCCUCCUAGUGCUUUGGCAACAUUGCUUAUGUUUGAAAGGCAUUCUCCCCUCCACCCCCUCUUUUUAAUACGAAAAUGAUAUCUGUAAAACAUGAUUGUAUAAACCAGGCAUAAUUCCACCAGUAAUCAGGCGACUCGCUCAGGCUGGGUUGUCAUUGUUAAAAAUUAAUAAUAGAUAAUAAAAUAGUGUGUAGCUGUUACAGUUGUUACCAUUGUAAUCAUAUUUUUGAGGGCCAGAGAUUUUGAUGACAUCGGUAUAUGUUUUCACAUCUAACCGUGUGAAACUCUCUGCUAGUCUCAGUAAAUGCCGCACGAAUGCUCAUCAUCUUGGUGCUGGAAAAAACAGUGUCCUUUGUUUGUUUCCAAGCACAUAGAGGGAGAAAGAAAACUCCUAAGAGGUACUGUCAGUCACAGCUCUUCCUCUGAAACCAAGGAUCAGGCUUCAGCAGUCCUGCUGCUUAACCUACUGCAGUGAAGAAGGGGCAUAUUUUAAAGAGCUUUGUAGACCCAGAGAUACCAGAAUGUCUUUUAGGGACAAACAGGUUCGAGAGAGCUAUCAAGUUAUUCAUAUGUGUGUAACCUCUCUAGAGGCAGAAACUUUCUGAUUUGUAACACAAAAUCAAGACCAGGCCAAUGCUGGUUAUAUGUCCAAGAGGAGGGAGGAUAGUGGAGCUAUCAAAGACCACUGACAGAGAUAUCAGUAAAGUACAAAGCCCAGUGAUCAUGUGUGACCAGAUUUUGAAUUACUGUAUACAAUUUGCCUAUAACUUUUAUAUUAUUUUACAUAUUACUUGGCUAUAAUUUGGUUGUUUGGCACUGACCAAGAUGGCUGUGCUGUUCUCUAGCAUGACCUCUUUCCAGGACAGACAAAUACAUCACCUGCAAAGUGAUAUAAAUGCCAGGGUGUGGUUUUUAUCCUGUGGGAUCACAAGCCCACUGCUAGCUUGGGAUUCAGGCUUGCUGUAGAGUGAACUCUGGACAGCCUGCUGAUGAAGCAGUAAUUUCUUUAUCCUUCUCCUGUAACAAAAAUCUUGCUUCAUUUUUUUGAAUAGCAGCAAUUUGAAGGUGCUGAGAUGUUUGUAAUACAGGUGCUUGGAGAUGGAAAUUUUUCAGUCUGGUGGAGGCGAGAAACUAUUUGGACAUCACUGCUUGUAAACAAAGGCAUCUAUUCUCCAAAGCUCUGAGCUCUAAGUGCACUGAGAGAGCAAAUGCCCAUGUCUCUGGAGAUAACCGCAGUAAAUGUAAUCAACUGUGUCUCAAAGCAAGUGCAACAUUUCCUUCCUGAUCUUGCCUCUGAGAACCGGGUUAUAUCUGCUAUUUUGUUAUCAUUGAUUGCAUGUUUGUUUUCUUGCAGGCACUCCUAGUUUACUCCUGUGUCAGCAGCAGAUUUCCCCAGUUGAGGGGACCAUGUUACGUUUGAGAUCCCUAAUGAAUGCUGCACUAAUUAUCUUUGGUCCUAGAAGGUCAUUGAAUGAUGCAGUGAGAUGCUCUUAUUAACCUUACCCUGAGAGUUACAAUCUGUACUGACCACAGUAAAUCUGUUUGGUUUUUUUUUUCUGUUUAGCUCAAGCUGCCCUCACACAAUACAGUGUACUCAGAAGUCAGGAAAAAAAAAAUCCCCAAGCCUACACACAGAGUCAGAAUAAGUUUAACUGUUUGACCUACAACAGUUCUGUCAUCAUCAAUUGACACGUUCGUCUUUCUUUUCUUGAAAUAAAGCUUUUCCCCAGUGUUCUGGCAGCAGCACAAGGAUUGCUGGCAAUGAAGUCACCUUCAAAGCUAAAGCAUUCAUGGAACAAAUGCAUUUCUGGAAGCAAGUAAGGCAGCUUGCAUCAGAAUUUUUGUUAUGGCUAUGCUGCAAUUAGAAUUUAUCCAGUAUUUGUGUUGAGUAUUUUUAAUUGCUUGUCUUAUAUUUGCCCAUUCAGGCAGAGCUCAUCAUGGGAGUACCUUUUCCUUUAAAAAUAAGGGAGGAAGGGAGGCCAGGGGUGUUUCAGGAAAUCAAGAAAACACAUAGAACAACUAAGUAACUAAUGGAACACAACCAGCAGGACUUUUUUUUUUGUUUGUUUGGUUUUUUUCCCCAAGCAAUCAAAGUUUGUGAAUCUGUAGUUAAACAGGAAGACAAAAUGACUCAAAACAAGAAUAUUGCUGUAUUAAAAGAGGCCAUUUCAACAAAGGCAGUCACCACCUGUAGUCCAGGGUGGAGAAGAGAAAAGUCAUUGUAGGCUCAAGGAUUGAUACAUCUAUCAAAAAUCUUUCUGUUAUUGGCUGUGCCAGAUUUUCUGCCUCACUCUCCCUCCUAUAUACAGUUACCCUUCUAUUUUUCAUGGAUAUAUCUUCCUCUGCUGCUGAAAAGUAGAGAAUGCCUAGGUAAACAUAGAAGAGAAUGGAAAUCUGAGUAACUACAGCUGGGUUUUUUUUAAGAUUAUGCUUUUCUGAGCAGUGUCAUUCUUGAGAUGAGUUAGUUAUUCUUCACAGAAGGUUUUAGGAAUGCUUUUAAGGGGAGGUUAGUUAGAAAACAGGGGUAUGUCCCCAUUUGGGCUUUCUCACAUCAUUGACUUUUAGAGGUCAUAUGGAAACACCUUCUUAACUAAAGAGUAGGUGGUAUCAUCACUUUGAUGAUGUUGGCAUGAAAAAAUAGCUCUCCUUGAGUAUAACGGAGUCAUUCAAAGAUUUUGAGAUCAGAAUUACAUACUCUGAUGAAAGGAGGGAUAGCAGUGUAUUUUCAUUAUGGUUUUUAUAAAAGUUUUGUUUGACCUCACGUGUCAUUUAUUGACGUCUGCUCAGAUUUUUAAAAUGCAAUGCAUAACACCAGUGUUAAAUGCUUUGGAUAGUACCAAUCUUUGUAUUUCCUUUGCAGGAGGCCCGUGAACUGUUCCUGUGUCAGGUAAGUAAAUGUUCCUGUGUCAGCUGAGUAAAAUAUCAUUUUGGGGUUUUCUGAAUGAUGGUAGGGGGCUUUAUCCCAGCAGGUCCUGAGGGAAGAGCAAAGUGUCCCUCCUGAGCAGAGGAAAAGUGUGGCAAAUGUCUGAGAUGCCAUCAAGUGUCACUAGAAGCUGUACCAGAGGAUGAGGAGUAUGCAUCUGCCAGCCAGUGCUGGUACAGCUGGGACUCAGCUGCGUUCUACAGACUGAGAUGAAGGGCUGUGGGUAACGAGUGAGUUGUCUGAAUGGAGGUUAUGAGCAACCAUAAUCAGUGGGAUUUUUUUAUGGUUCCUCUUUUUUUUUUUCUUUUGUUUUGUUCAGUUGUUCUUUUCCCCAUGCUGCCAUUGGACAAAACUUUACCGCCUAAGGAAAAGUUGCAAGCUCAAAGUAGAAGACACUGCACAGAAGACUGUAAACAGCUCAACAUGAACACAAGCUCUUUGCUUUUGCAAACUCUACUGGGAGAACAAAAAGAAGUGUACUGAAUAAUUCAGCCUUGAGAGUGAAUUGAGCUUGAGGAGAAUUGUUGAAUUCCCAAGUCUGUGGUUUGUGGUUUUUGUUAUUGACUGCUCACAUGGAUUGAAAGUCCUGUCUCUGCAGUCAGUGGUUUUUAUCUCCCCUUCAGAUUCUGCAAUUUUAUCUGGCUUUUCAUCCCUGAUUACCAGCUCUCUAUUCUUGCUAAUAAACACACAAGAACCAUUGAAGGACCUUCGUGCUUCCAAGGAGAGCCAUAGAUAGCCUGCUAUACUAAUAAAUCAGAAUUUAACAUUGGACCUGAACGUUGAAGAUAGUCCAAUAAAAUUAUGAGGCACUCUUCCUACUAUCCUUCCCUCACAUGCUGGAAUAUCCAAAUUCUUAAGGAAGCUGAAAGUUUGAUAUCAGAAAAGAACCUCCUGAAAAUGGGGUGUCUUAACGCACCCUGAAAUUUGUUGUUUAUGUUAACAUGCUGAUGGGAGCCAGACAAUAACAACAGGAGCUGGUCCUGCAUUUUAUGCAGCUAAUAGGUAAAAAAAAACCAAGUUAAUAUAAUUUGAGUAUUUGUAAAUGCAUAAAAUAUAGAGCCCAGUGGAAUGGGCUUUAUAUUAUAAAAUAUAGAGCAAGGUGGAAUGAUGAUCUGUCACCGAAAGUAGCUUGCCCAGAAAAAUGUUAUAAUUGUAAGAGUCUAGCUAGUAUUCAGGAAUCUGUAUAAAACCUGAAGCAUGCUCAUUUCUUAAAGCCACUUAAUAAAGUAAAUGUUAUUACCUCUAAAGCAUUUUUUUCUCUAGUUCAAAAAGCAGAAUUAUCUGCAGAAAAAAGAAUGUAUAGUCUGAAAAUUGUAAUCACACUGUCUAAUACAACUUUUAUUUAUUUAACUCUUACUGACAAGCUCACUGAGUGGUAUAGUUCCUAUAAGUAAAUAGGAACUAUUUACUUAUAGUAAGUAGCUCGCUCACUAUGUGGACUGCAGGAAGGCUCUGCUAAUGUAUUUCUACUCAGAUGCUUGCAGCUACAAAUUAACAUUUCCUAGCCAAAGGAAAGAAAUAAAGAUGUUUGGUGGCUUUAUGAUGAAUUUGUAAGAGAAUGCUAAGGAAGUGACUUUCAGUGAGGAGAAUCUGGUCCCUUAUCCUUGAACUUAAAGAGAUAACAGAACCUUAACCUAAAAAAGGAAAAAAACAAACAAACCAAAGUCCAAACCAAAUUCUUAAUACCCAAGGAAAAAACCCUCAUUUUUGAUUCAUGUUAAAUUCAUGCUUUGUAACUUACAGAUAUCACCAGCGUUUCUGUAGUCAUGGACUUUGAAAGAUAGCGAAAUCUAGAAAACUUUUAAAAUUAAAUGACAUGUCAGAUGGGAUCUGCUUGCAAGUGAACCAAAUCCAAAAGUCUCCUUGUGGAGGGGUGAAAAUUUUUAUUCCUUAGUUCUGAUUAACAUCUAAUCAAAUAGACUGGAGUCCAUCCAGAAGGCAGUUUUUGGUUUAAAAUAGCCAGUUAACUGCAUCAAGGAUAUGCUUUCUGCCAGGUAUUCCUGAGGUGGGAAAUGUAGAAGUGGUGUUUGUUCUGGGCUAAAAAUCCCUUUUGCCACAAGCAGGAAUUCAAAUCAGAGUUGUAGCACAUGCAUGCACACCAUUUCAAGUGCCAGAACACUUCUGGUUCUAGUUAAGAGGAACAGCCCAUAUCCCUAAAGGCAGGUGGGUGUGCAUCAGGGCUGCCCCUGCAGUGCUCCUGGUGUGCUGGUUUGAGCAUCCUGAGGCAGAACCCUUCCCUCAAAUCUCUGGCUAAGGAUGCAAAACUUACCUUGAAACUGCCCAGAUUUGUAACAGCUGACUUGGGCACAGCCUUGUUUCUGGGCAAAGGAAUGACAGGAAUAACAAAUCCCUCUUACCCAGGUGAAGGAGUAGAGGAAGGAAUCCCAGAGGAACAAUAACAAAUCCCUCUCACCCAGAUGAAGGAGGAGACAAAGGAAUCCCAGAGGAACAGGGUGCUUUGCCCACACUGCAACUCGUGGUACCUCGGUGCAAUGUGUGCCAGGUUCCUGCUCCUGUGCAGCCACAGGGCCCAGUGCUGGGCAUCAAUCUGGGCACAGGACGGGGGAGAGUUUUAUGGGAUUUCGGGCAUCUCCCUUCCCAGCAAACAGCUCCUCUGCCCUAUUGCAGAUGAAACACUGGGGGAAUAAAUGAGCUGUGCUGCAGUGUGAGAUACUUUUGAGGGAGAACCAGAUCCUAAUGCCAGACAUCCUUUAACAGUGUCCCCUGCCUAAAAUGAAAAUGGUUCAAAGCUGCUGUGGGAGAGAAUGGAGGGGUUUUCCUUUUCAAGGUAAGCAGUUCUCUUCUUUCUUCUUAGUCCAAGCCUGUAACUACUUGAACCUCACAAGGUCUGCCUUUCAAGAGAUGCUUAAAAAUUCCAGAGAGGUAGUACUUGAAAGCUGAAGCCAAUGAUUUGCCACAAUCUGCAUUACUUAUGAUGUACAAAGACCUCUGUUAGCUGGUAAAAAGAAAAGUACUUUAUUGGAGACUGCUGGUGAUUGCUAGCUCUUUUAGGAAGCACUGGUUUUGUGUGAUAUUUGUGUGGAGCAUUACUUGAGUCUUAAGUUUAGUCUUCAAUAGCAGAUAUUUCUGUCAGACCUUUAGACCUUUCCCAUUGUACUUGAUUUUUGAGAAGGCAGAGCCUAUGCUGUUGGACAAGUACAAACUAAAUUGGCUGUGCUCAGCACUCAAAGAGCAAUAGCAGCCUUCUGGGGGCUCUUAUGUCUAAUACAGCCCUUUUUUUGCUGCUAUAAAUUGGUAUCUGUCUUAAACAGAAUGAUAGAUAAAUCCCCUCUCCUCCCUCCAGUCUUCAUUUUUUCCAUGUAAGGUUUUAAACAAUCACCAUCAAUUUCAGCUUUCCAGCUCUGCCUUCCUAACUUUAAACCAGCCUAACCUCUCUGGAUUAUUGCCAGAGGCUCUGUGCCUGCUGUAGCAGGAGUAGUAAUUCUUCUGUGGUUUUAGUCCUGUGUCCUUAUUUCCCACCUUUGACAGUCCAUGGCUGUUUUCUCCUCCAGAGUUUCCCUGUACCUGCCCAGUCCCAGCUGCACCCACGAGUCUCAUGCCAGCUUUAGAAGGAGUGACAUGACAUUGCCUCCUGCUUCUUCAAGCUCCUAUUUUAGCUGUGUGAGCAUGUCGAGCUCUAUCACUCAGCUGCAUAUGCUCUCCUUUUCCAAACUCUGUCCUUAACCUAAAUUCCAUCUUUCAGCCUGGCAGGGGGACUUGCUUGUCUACACCUCUGUCCACCAGGUCACCUGGGAGGCUCUCAGCCUGCAGCACCCAUCUCACUGCUGCUUCUCUGCUCUCCUGAAAGCUGCCUCCCAGUGCAGUUGUAGGGCUGGCUGGUACUUGCCUGAACUGGAGUGACAGCUCAUUUAGCCCUGCUUCCUCCAACUCUCAUUUCAGGAGCAUCUGCCAGCCUGAGUCUUGAAGGGUUUGCAGGGAUGAAGUGAGUCCUAUGGACAGGAUAGGAAGGCACAGUCCAUUCUGCAGGGGUUUAAGUGCCUGCUGGAUUUUUUUUUAAGAGCCACAGAGCUAAAAUGUGGCAGGUGCAAGUCACAUUUUAGGCAUAGCUUCUACCUUACUUAUAUAUUUUUAUCAUACUUUUACCUGUGGUCUUGCUUGUCUUUUAUGAUUUAAUGCCUGUUUCAGCUUCAUGAGUUCUCCUUUCUUGAGCCAUCCCUGACUACAGUCUCAGCUGUCACCAUUGGGCUGUUAUUUGUCUUCCCAUGCUAGAAACUCUUUUAAGAUUUAGUCCUGCAGAUUUUUUCCCUCAUCUCUUAAUGUAUCCCUGGCCAUGUGACUUGCACUUCCCAUUUAAAUUAUAAAUCAUUAAUAAAUCAUUAACUUGUGCUUACCCCAUAAUUGUAUCAGAUGGAAAGAAGAUACAUCUGAAUUCAUCCUCAGGUUGAAACUGAGAAAUUUGAGUUACAUUUUAGAAGACAUCUGUAAGAUGUCCAGCUGGAGCAGAGUCCAGAUUAAAUAUCCUCUGAAUUGCUAUAUAAGUAGAGCUUUUUUCUCAUUUAUCAUCACUAGAAUCAAGCAUCAUCUUAGGGUUUUAGCCCCUGCUUUCCUGAUCCCUGUUCACAGUCUGAGCCUCCUUAUUCCAAUUAAUAAACCUAGCCAAGUGAUACCAGCCUGAUUCUCUAGGUACCCAGUCAAGUAAUUUUUGUCCAAAAUAGAGGUCUAAUCCAAAACCAGUUUUAGGUUUACAGGCCUUCCUAUGGUGAUCCUCAGUACUAUUUAGUCCACCUUCUCUUCUUCCCAACCUCCAGGCAGUUGUGUAUGGAUUACUGAAUUUAGUUCCUUAUUCUGUUUUCUGGACUUCAGACUUUCUGCUUGACACCUCUAGCCUAGAAAUAUAUAGCUGUUAAUUUCUCUGCUGUGUUUACUUUGGUAGAUAAAUCGAGUUUAUACCUGCGCAGGAGAAAUCAUAAGUAAAAUUUUGAUUGGAAAGCCUGUUGAAAUAAUGAAUAUACAUAACCAAUUUAGUACACAUCCACACAUUUUCACUCUCAGAGAUGGCUAUUCUUCCACAGAAAGCUGUCCUAUUCACUAAGAGUGUUCAUGUGCAGCCUUUCCCUGUGCAAUUGCAUCACAUUUUCAGGGUGUAAGGAGAAAGGCUCAAGCCCUCCCUCUUUGGGCUAGAUUCUUCCAAGGAGAGCCUCACUCUAGGAGAAGCACAGGGAGUACUUUGUGUGCUGUGCUCUCUUGAAAAAUGUGUCAACCUGCUAUGAUCUCUCCAUGGCAGCAGAUCUCCUGGAAAGCCUGGCUCCCAUCCAGGGGAGCCAGCAUGGAUGUGUGUGGUGAAGCCUUCCUCACCAUGAGACUAUCAAAAAAGCUGUACACAUAAUUCUUCAGAUAGAUUAAAUGCAGUCCAAGCACAUUUUCUCUGAUUCAUUCCGGUGCUUCUCAGCUUGGCAGCUGCCAAAUUGUGUUUUUUCAACCUUUUGAAUGGUAGAAUUUUUAAAAUAUUUAUUCCUUUUGAUGAUGGGUACUUAUAAAAUAUAUUCUCUCUUGGAAAAAAAUCAAGUUUAUCAAUUUUACAAAGGAAUCACCAUUAAUUUAAUGCAAUAUCCUACCUGUAAAUAGCAGAAUUUAGGUUGGAAGGCUGAUGUCAGAGUAGAUUGGGAGCAGAAAACCCAGAUUAGAAUGAAUCUGUAAACACAGUUUGCUAGUACAACAUCAGGAAUGGAAAAAUCAGUUUUCAGGUCUUGAAUUUACAGCAUCAUAUUUAAGAUCUUGUGUUUUCAGACUGAAUGAGAUCUUAUCAGAAAUGAAUGAAAACUGUUGGUUCAUAUUUGUCUUAUUAAGAGAUUUCAGGAAAUGCUUUAUAUCAAGGCUAACUGCAUGCACAUAUUUACUGUCAGCUUUAAACUCUUUUCCAAAAGGUAUGAGGAGAAGAGUAAGAGAAGGCUGGCAACACCUAAGAUUGCUGGAGUGCUCCAGAUGUUCUGAGUGCUGAGGCCUUGCCAGCAUCCUGCUGCCUUGAAAAAUCAGCAGGUUGGUGGUCGAAGACAAUGAUGUUCUGUGAUGUUAAGCUAAGUGCUUCCACCCAGCAGCUGGGAGUCACUGGAAGACUUUCUGCUGCAGGGAUCCUGUGCUUUCCUAUGAUAAAUUAGAGGUAAAAUAACCAAUUUUACAUAAUAAAUUUACAUUAUGGCAGGUAAAAUAGAUCCUUUACUUCCCUCGAAUUAAGAUUGAACAGCAAAUAUUACUCACCUGUUCAUCAAUAAAUCACAAAUGGCACAGAUGUGAAGACUUUUGCUUGUAGUAAAAAAAAUAAAACUCAUACACCCAGCCAAAUUAUACUGCAGCUUUUUUAUUUCUAGCUCUUUGACAUACUGUGGUUUUGAACCUGUUACUUUGCUUUUAGCUGAGGACUUUUGAACACAGUCCAAUGCUUUGUUGUUUGCCAGUGGGAGAGAGAAGACCUUUUGUAAAAACAGCAGUUUCAGUGAGAAUUCCAUGGCUAAGGUUCAUAAUAGUCAGACCUUUCUUUAAAUUGCAAGCAUCAGUCUUUUUUUUUUUUUUUUUUUUUUUAUUUGUGAUGAAAAGAGAAGGUUUGAUAAGCCUGCUUAGCCUUUCUCCAUGCUUUGUGAUUUACUUUAAUAAAACACUACUUUGCCUUGGGCUUUCUGCUGACUGCGCUGUAACACUUGUACCCCAAAAUGUGUUUGUCAAUCUCUGUCACAUCUUUUCUUAUCUACCUUCAUCUCUCUGUCUAUUUAUGCAGCCUUCAGUAUCAUCAAAUGCUUAUCAGCACAGGAAUUCUGGCAGAUGCCCUGUCACAGAGCUCCCUGUGUGAGAGGUCCACGUUUCCCACCUUGCUUCUGAAAGGAUGCUGCACGCCUGUGUCACGUUGUACCACACAGCUGGGAGUGCUGAGGGCCUUGUAAUUAGCUGCAGGAUCAAGGGGAAUAGGACCACUAGAUCAAUCCUCCAGCAAGAUGCCCUUAUCAUUGUCUGUGCUCAAUAUCUGAUCUCUUGGUCUCCUUUGAAGAUUAAGCAAAACAGCAUCCUGGAGUCCUGCAGCAUCUCCGUGUCACCUCUGCAGCACUCUGCCUGAAGUGAAUACAUGGAGGAACACCAGCAGGAAAAUGAGGAUUUGGCAAAUGUAUGCCCGAGGCUGACUUGCACAGGAAUCUUCACUGUCUUUAAAGUCCAACGACGAUCUGCUGGACCAUAAAAAGCCACCAAAACGUGCCUGCAGACUCCGUCAUCCUAAAUUUCCUGGAGACAUGUUCUGUUUGUCCUGAUAGCAGAAUUUCAAAGAAUGAUUGACUGAUUCUCUUAUUAAAGUCUAUGCCCAAGAGGAAAAA